CCUACGGGGGUCAGCAGUCGGGAAUAUUGCUCAAUGGAGGAAACUCUGACGCAGUGACGCCGCGUGCAGGAAGAAGGUUUUCGGAUUUUAAACUGCUUUAGACAGGGAAGAAACAAGACAGUACCUGUAGAAUAAGCUCCGGCUAACUACGUGCCAGCAGCCGCGGUAAUACGUAGGGACCAAGCGUUAUCCGGAUUUAUUGGGUGUAAAGGGUGCGUAGACGGGAAGGCAAGUUGGUUGUGAAAUCCCUCGGCUUAACUGAGGAACUGCAACCAAAACUAUCGUUCUUGAGUGCUGGAGAGGAAAGUGGAAUUCAUGGUGUAGCGGUGAAAUGCGUAGAUAUUAGGAGGAACACCAGUGGCGAAGGCGACUUUCUAGACAGUAACUGACGUUGAGGCACGAAAGUGUGGGGAGCAAACAGGAUUAGAUACCCCGGUAGUC
rnacentral:rRNA from 1 species